CUACGGGUUGCUCCAGUGGGGAAUAUUGCACAAUGGGGGAAACCCUGAUGCAGCGACGCCGCGUGAAGGAAGAAGGUUUUCGGAUCGUAAACUUCUAUCAGCAGGGAAUAAAAUGAAGGUACCUGACUAAGAAGCCCCGGCUAACUACGUGCCAGCAGCCGCGGUAAUACGUAGGGGGCAAGCGUUAUCCGGAAUUACUGGGUGUAAAGGGAGCGUAGGCGGCGAUGUAAGUCAGGUGUGAAAGCCCAGGGCUCAACCCUGGGACUGCACUUGAAACUACAUUGCUAGAGUACAGGAGAGGAAAGUGGAAUUCCUAGUGUAGCGGUGAAAUGCGUAGAUAUUAGGAGGAACACCAGUGGCGAAGGCGACUUUCUGGACUGUAACUGACGCUGAGGCUCGAAAGCGUGGGGAGCGAACAGGAUUAGAUACCCUGGUAGUC
rnacentral:rRNA from 1 species